rnacentral:rRNA from 1 species
GAAUUCAACUCCUACGGGAGGCAGCAGUGGGGAAUAUUGGGCAAUGCCCGCAAGGGUGACCCAGCAACGCCGCGUGGAGGAUGAAUGCCGUAAGGUUGUAAACUCCUGUGAGAAGGGAAGAAAGUGCGGAAUCGAAUUCCGCUUUGACUGUACCUUCAGAGGAAACCCCGGCUAACUACGUGCCAGCAGCCGCGGUAAUACGUAGGGGGUUAGCGUUGUCCGGAUUUACUGGGUGUAAAGGGCGCGUAGGCGGGUUUGUAAGUCAGAGGUGAAAUCCUGCAGCUUAACUGCAGAGCUGCCUUUGAUACUGCAAAUCUUGAGUGCAGAAGAGAGAGAUGGAAUUCCAGGUGUAGUGGUGAAAUACGUAGAUAUCUGGAAGAACACCAGUGGCGAAGGCGGUCUCUUGGUCUGUAACUGACGCUGAGGCGCGAAAGCGUGGGUAGCAAACAGGAUUAGAAACCCCAGUAGUCCAGGCGUU